rnacentral:rRNA from 1 species
AUGAAGUCGGAAUUGCUAGUAAUCGCGGAUCAGCGUGCCGCGGUGAAUACGUUCCCGGGCCUUGUACACACCGCCCGUCACACCAUGAGAGUCGGGAACACCCGAAGUCCGUAGUCUAACCGCAAGGGGACGCGGCCGAAGGUGGGUUCGAUAAUUGGGGUGAAGUCGUAACAAGGUACC